CAAAAAACAUACUUAAUAAAUAUUUGUUAAAAGAAUUAAUCUAAAUAACACCCUCAAAAGUGUUGAGUUGCUCUCUCCAUUUUGUAUGUUAGAUUGAGAUUUAUUAGAUCCUUGAGAUAAAAAAUCAUCUUGUGUGUUCUUUGGAAGGAAUGAUGCUAAAGCUGAAACUCCAGUACUUUGGCCAUCUGAUGCGAAGAGUUGACUCAUUGGAAAAGACUCUGAUGCUGGGAGGGAUUGGGGGCAGGAGGAGAAGGGGACGACAGAGGACAAGAUGGCUGGGAUGGCAUCACCGACUCGACGGACUGAAGACACCAGAAGAGGGGGUCAUUCUUGACAUUAGUCUCAAAAGCUUGGGCGCUGCUGAACCAGAGUGAAAAUGGAAUAUGGCAUAUGUUUCUACCUGCCCAGGUUUCAAGGGGGAAAAAAAAUUCACUCUAGACUGAGAGUGUCAAAGAUUUAAACCUUAUAUUGGACAAUGAAGAAUGAAAUAAAUAGGUCUACAGCAGUCUGCAAUUGAUUUGGGAGUACAGUAAGAAGUAUAUGUCUAUCUACCCCUCCUCCCAGUAUACAAUUGCCUCUAUCAUCACCAUUUAUUCAAAAGACUUUCUCUUUCCUCUGUACUUAAGUGACAAUAAAGAAAGGAAGAAAGAGAAAGAGAAGAAUUUAAGAGAAAGAAAGGAGAAAGAAAAAAAUAAAAGAAAUAAAAUGAGAAAAAGAGAAAAGAUUAAAGA
ensembl:lncRNA